rnacentral:rRNA from 1 species
UGCUUUCUUUGCUGGCGACCGGCGCACGGGUGAGUAACACGUAUCCAACCUGCCCUUUACUCGGGGAUAGCCUUUCGAAAGAAAGAUUAAUACCCGAUAGCAUAAUGAUUCCGCAUGGUUUCAUUAUUAAAGGAUUCCGGUAAAGGAUGGGGAUGCGUUCCAUUAGGUUGUUGGUGAGGUAACGGCCCACCAAGCCUUCGAUGGAUAGGGGUUCUGAGAGGAAGGUCCCCCACAUUGGAACUGAGACACGGUCCAAACUCCUACGGGAGGCAGCAGUGAGGAAUAUUGGUCAAUGGGCGCUAGCCUGAACCAGCCAAGUAGCGUGAAGGAUGAAGGCUCUAUGGGUCGUAAACUUCUUUUAUAUAAGAAUAAAGUGCAGUAUGUAUACUGUUUUGUAUGUAUUAUAUGAAUAAGGAUCGGCUAACUCCGUGCCAGCAGCCGCGGUAAUACGGAGGAUCCGAGCGUUAUCCGGAUUUAUUGGGUUUAAAGGGAGCGUAGGUGGACUGGUAAGUCAGUUGUGAAAGUUUGCGGCUCAACCGUAAAAUUGCAGUUGAUACUGUCAGUCUUGAGUACAGUAGAGGUGGGCGGAAUUCGUGGUGUAGCGGUGAAAUGCUUAGAUAUCACGAAGAACUCCGAUUGCGAAGGCAGCUCACUGGACUGCAACUGACACUGAUGCUCGAAAGU